rnacentral:rRNA from 1 species
UACGAAGGGGGGCUAGCGUUGUUCGGAAUUACUGGGCGUAAAGCGCACGUAGGCGGAUAUUUAAGUCAGGGGUGAAAUCCCAGAGCUCAACUCUGGAACUGCCUUUGAUACUGGGUAUCUUGAGUAUGGAAGAGGUGAGUGGAAUUCCGAGUGUAGAGGUGAAAUUCGUAGAUAUUCGGAGGAACACCAGUGGCGAAGGCGGCUCACUGGUCCAUAACUGACGCUGAGGUGCGAAAGGCGUGGGGAGCAAACAGG